GCGAACGGGAGCGGCGCGAAAACCCUCCCUCCGUGCUGCCUCAAAGCCUUGGCGUCGGCGGCGGAGUCGGAGGCCAAGUGCCACGAGACCGUGGUCUCCGGCUGGCUCUCGGAACCUUCCGAUAAAGGCGGCAAGUUCUUCUACUUCAAUAACCCUAUGUGGCCUGGAGAGGCUCAUUCGUUGAAAGUGGAGAAGAUUUUGUAUCGAGGGAAAUCACAG
rnacentral:misc_RNA from 1 species